rnacentral:rRNA from 1 species
UACAGGGGGUGCAAACGUUGCUCGGAAUCAUUGGGCGUAAAGCGCACGGAGGCGGUUCGUUAUGUCGGAUGUGAAAGCCCUUGGCUUAACCGAGGAAGUGCAUCCGAAACUGGCGAGCUAGAGUACUAAAGAGGAUCGCGGAAUUCCCGGUGUAGAGGUGAAAUUCGUGGAUAUCGGGAGGAACACCGGUGGCGAAGGCGGCGAUCUGGGUAGAUACUGACGCUGAGGUGCGAAAGCGUGGGGAGCAAACAGG